UGCUCUUCUUCCGAAAACAAAAAAUCCUACUCGAGCACUCCAAAAUUUCAACUAAACAAUUAACUGUAAUAUGCUGUAAAAUACAAUGAAAUAUAAUAAUAUAUAUAGUUAUAUGCCGUAACUAAAAACCAAAAUGCAAGACGUCGCAUCUAUUUCGUUAAACAAUUCGGUGACAAUCUUUAUUUUUUCCACCUGCGGUUAAAUAAUG